UGAGGAUUCCUUGCACCACAACAGCUGUCUGCAGCCCACGGAGCCAACCAGUUGCCAGGGCUGGAGCAGCAGUACUUGGCAGCAUCUCAUAAGGCACAGGGUACAGCUCUGGAAUGAGUCCAAAAUCCCUUUUCCACAACCGGCUCCAUAUCAGUGUGACUUCUGAUCCUGAGCAUCAAUUACCUCUGAGAAUGUUACCCCUGCUUUCCAAAAGGAAAUGAUAGCAUCAUUACAUUUCUUGACAGCAGCCGUGUGGCACACAGACCUGCGCUGACACCGUGCCUUCGUUGGGAGCGCUGCUGGUGGCUGUAUCUCAUCAUUCCCCCCAACCACC
rnacentral:lncRNA from 1 species